rnacentral:tmRNA from 1 species
GGGGCUGACUAGGUUUCGACGUGGGUUACAAAGCAUGCAGGGCAUACCGAGGGUUUCAGGUUUCCUCGUUAAUCCAUCUGGAAAAAGUAUAGUCGCAAACGACGAAACUUACUCUUUAGCAGCUUAGGCCGCUAAACGUUGCUCUGGGGCUUUCCUCGCCCAGGCUAGGAAACUAGCAAGCAACGUCAUAUAGAGGAAAUCGCACUUUAUUGGGUUACUUAAUAUUGUGUUAAAACUAAGGUAACUCGCUUUACAUUCGCUUGCUCGUUGGUGGGUGUACCGUUAAAUUUAAACAACACAGCUAAGUAUGUAGAACUGUCUGUGGAGGGCUUGCGGACGCGGGUUCGAUUCCCGCCUGCUCCACCA